rnacentral:rRNA from 1 species
AUUGAACGCUAGCGGGAUGCCUUACACAUGCAAGUCGAACGGAGUGGCGAACGGGUGAGUAAUGUCUCGGAACGUGCCCAGUCGCGGGGGAUAACUACGCGAAUGCGCAGCUAAUACCGCAUACUAUUUGAGCGGCCUAUAUCGGAUUAGCUAGUUGGUGGGGUAACGGCUAACCAAGGCGACGAUCCGUAGCUGGUUUGAGAGGAUGACCAGCCAAACGGGAACUGAGACACGGGCCAGACUCCUACGGGAGGCAGCAGUGGGGAAUUUUGGACAAUGGGGGAAACCCUGAUCCAGCCAUGCCGCGUGUGAGAUGAAGGUCUUCGGAUUGUAAAGCACUUUAGGAAGGAAAGCGGUACCUACAGAAUAAGCACCGGCUAACUACGUGCCAGCAGCCGCGGUAAUGC